rnacentral:tRNA from 1 species
GGGCCAGUGGUAUAGCUUGGAUAGCAUGGAGGUUUCCGGAGCCUCUGACCCGGGUUCGAAUCCCGGCCGGCCCG